AGUGUCUGCGAGCAGCACCUGGCACGCGAUGAGCCUGACACCAUCGGCGCCUGGCUGCUUUGGUGACAGCUGGAAGAGGGAGGUACUUGAGAGAAAACUUUCAAGGAAAAGUUUUAAUGUGGCUGUUAGCGAAAGUGAGCCAGUAGCUCUCAGAAAAGGUGUGGAGGUCCCCAGAUGAAGAUGACUGGGGUCAUUCUGUGCUCCAGCCCGGGUGUGUGGGAACCACAGCCAGAAAGGAAAGAGAAGGCAAUGGCGGAGGACCGGGCGCAUGGGAAGGAAGGCGGCAGUCUCCUGCCCUCACACGGUGACAGUGACAUGGGGGAGGAGGGAAUACAGCUUAGCUCCCUGGUGAUGGAAGAUUCUAGAGGACACACAGUGUGACCCAGGGCUCAGCACGAACUUUGGCACAAGACGGACAGACGCACUUGAGUUUCCAUCAGGCCCUCAGCAAUGACUGCACAUGUGAUCGUGG
rnacentral:lncRNA from 1 species